UACGUAGGGCGCAAGCGUUGUCCGGAAUUAUUGGGCCUAAAGUAUCCGUAGCCGGUUCUGCAAGUCUUCCGUUAAAUCCACCUGCUUAACAGAUGGGCCGCGGAAGAUACUAUAGAGCUAGGAGGCGGGAGAGGCAAGCGGUACUCGAUGGGUAGGGGUAAAAUCCGUUGAUCCAUUGAAGACCACCAGUGGCGAAGGCGGCUUGCCAGAACGCGCUCGACGGUGAGGGAUGAAAGCUGGGGGAGCAAACCGG
rnacentral:rRNA from 1 species